rnacentral:lncRNA from 1 species
CUUACCUCAGUUACUAGGCUGCUCUGGAAGCAUGGGGAGCAGGCAUUUAGGACCUUGUGGCACACAUUUUGUGUACAACAGCCUUACUCCAAGUUUCUCCUUAUUUCCCAUUUGAUCUAUUUUCUAUCUUCCUUAUUAAUAUUUGUGGCAGAUUAUAUUUUCUAAAAUUGACAACAAUAUUUCUUGUCCCACAGGCACCUUCAAAACCUUGCUACUCUCUUCUCCUUGAACUAAGCUAUCAAACUUGGACACAAUACAGGGCAUGGCUAUUUGAAGACUCUGAGAAGUAAGAGUAGCAGGCAGAUUCAAGAAGAGUAAAAUGUAAAAUAUCACUGAACUGAGGCUUCUAACUGUCCAUCUUUCUUGGGAUGUGAGCCUUUGGUGCUAUGAGCUCCCAGGUGAGAACCUUCCUAGUCUGAAGCCACCCUGCUGGAGAAACCACCUGUAGAGGCCACUUACACAGAGAUACCACUUAGAGAGGCCACUUAGGGAGAGGCU